rnacentral:rRNA from 1 species
GGGGUCCGCGUUGUAAUUUGCAGAGGAUGCUUCGGGUGCAGCCCCCGUCUAAGUGCCCUGGAACGGGCCGUCAUAGAGGGUGAGAAUCCCGUCUGGGACGGGGUGUCUGCGUCCGUGUGAAGCUCCUUCGACGAGUCGAGUUGUUUGGGAAUGCAGCUCUAAAUGGGUGGUAAAUUUCAUCUAAAGCUAAAUACUGGCCGGAGACCGAUAGCGCACAAGUAGAGUGAUCGAAAGAUGAAAAGCACUUUGAAAAGAGAGUUAAACAGCACGUGAAAUUGUUGAAAGGGAAGCGUUUGCGACCAGACUCGCCCGCGGGGUUCAGCCGGCAUUCGUGCCGGUGUACUUCCCCGUGGGCGGGCCAGCGUCGGUUUGGGCGGCCGGUCAAAGGCCCUCGGAAUGUAUCACCUCUCGGGGUGUCUUAUAGCCGAGGGUGCAAUGCGGCCUGCCUGGACCGAGGAACGCGCU